CUACCUACGGGGGGCAGCAGUAGGGAAUUUUCGUCAAUGGGGGAAACCCUGAUGCAGCAACGCCGCGUGAAGGAAGACGGUUUUCGGAUUGUAAACUUCUGUUCUUAGUGAAGAAGAAUGACGGUAGCUAAGGAGCAAGCCACGGCUAACUACGUGCCAGCAGCCGCGGUAAUACGUAGGUGGCAAGCGUUGUCCGGAAUUACUGGGGGUAAAGGGAGCGCAGGCGGGAAGCCAAGUCAGCUGUGAAAACUACGGGCUUAACUUGGAGACUGCAGUUGAAACUGGUUUUCUUGAGUGAAGUAGAG
rnacentral:rRNA from 1 species